UUCUUUAUGUGAUAAUAGACAUAAUUAAUUUGGUGUAUAAGUUGCUUUGUUGCCUUUGAAGUUAAGUAAAAAAUGAGAUGUUAAGACUGCAUUAGUGAUAUUUAAUUGGAAACCAUUAUAAAAAAUAAACUACAUACACGGUAGUCCCAGGAAAUAGAAAAGAGAGAGUAUAUGUUUAACUGAAGAUACUAACAAUUUGUGGUUGAAUGUUUUGCUUUAAUAGCUGUAAGAGUGGCAGCAGUGAUUGCGAGCACAAUGGAGAGAAGGCAGAGCGACACAGAAAGGGCAGGGCUGAGCUAUUUGAAGGUGAUUGACAAGAAUAGUUACGUGAAAUUUCUUUACAGGUCAUGCAAACAGACAGAAUGAAACCAUUGCUCUUGGAGAUAGUGCAAGUGUUUCAUUUUGCUUAUUUCAUCUUUUCUAGUCCUAUAAUAAAUAGUGGUUAAUACCUUGCAAAGGAUGUUAGGUUCAGCCAUGUGCCUCUGCACCUGGCUUAGUAGAUAUUUGGAAGAUAGAAGAAGAUGUUAGCAUGUUUAAUGGUUUUUAACAUACAGCACUGCUUAUCAGGAGCCUAUUCUGAAAAAUGACAUGCCAGAGACCUGGCAUUCUCCUGUGCAUCAACUGGACAGCCUGGAAAAUCUAAUCUGUGAUACCAGUAUUAUAAAUCAGAUAUUACUCUCAGGUAUUAUCAAUUGAUUAUCAGCUCAGUCCUGUGUAAGGUAAAAUUUGGCCGUUUAUUAAAAUGAGUAGGUUUCCGGCUUGCCUUUUCUCUCAGAAAUAGCCUAAUUUAAGUCUUCAGCUGUUAGAAGAAAGUUCUGCUUUGUUUUCAACCAGGAGGUUAAAGCAGCUGCAGCAGAAGAGUAUGUGGAAGGAGAGGAGAAAGGAUGGAGUUGACUUCCCUCAGGUGGAACAGGCCAGCCUAGUAAAACCAGUAAUUCCCCCCAAUAAUAGUGGUUUAGGCAAGGUAAAAAAUGGGUGCUAGAUAUAUUGCUAUACUGUUGUGGUGAACUGGAUGCUUUCAUUUAUAUUGGAUGGCAGUUAGGUAAAGCCGGCUGUGUAAGUGAAGAGAUUACAGCGAUGCCUACAAAGGGAUGAAAACUAAAGCUUUUAUUCAGCCUGAAUUUGCAAGGAAACAGUGUGGAUUAUAAUACUGAGAUUCCCUUUUCCCCCUCCUACACCUUUCUUGACAGUGAAGACACACACCAGGUUCAUUCUUGGUCAAGUAUGUGCCCGCAAACCUCACCAAUCUGGGUGGAAGAAAGAGGGGGUACUGUUGAGGAGUAAACAGAAGAUGCCUGUGGUCACCUUUAAAUUACUGUUAUGGUGAAAUGUGCUAAUAGCUGCCAUCAAGUGAGCCUUUGAUCCAAAGACAAUAAUAGAUCUCAUUAUAAUCAGCGGGUUUGCCAAACACUCCUUUUCAGGCUCUGAAGAAGAAGCAACUGAGCCUCUUUAAAUAGCAGAGACAAUGGAGGGAUUUCAGACAGCACAUGCCAGGUCAGAGCUGAGCAUGUAGGCAGGGGGAUUUCCUUGGUGGCACACAGGGGAUGGGAUAUUGGAUUUGCAGUUGCUGAGCGUCCAGUGGCAGCAAAGCCACCCAAAAUCCAGGAGAAGCAGUUGUGAGCAGAGCUGGGACGGCAGGAGUGGGACCAAGGGUCUCGGGUGUGGAGCUCAGUGGUGCUGGACGGUGAAUUCUGGGUACAGACACUGUGUACAGAAACCCCCUCCAUGUUCAGGGAAACACACCUCUGGCUUGGCGAAAAAAGGAGAAGUCAAAACACAACCUAGGGAUCACUGUACUGUGUCACUGUUUUCUCAUCUGGAGCAGUCCUGGGGGGAACUGAAUCCUGUCUAACUGCUAAGACCAAAGGAGGAACAGCGAUGUGCCUGAAAACCAGUGAAGUCUGUGGAAGACUCCUCUUGCCUUUUGUGAGCUCUGGAUCAGGGAAACGACUCAUAAAAUGCUUAUCUUGUUACUGCAAACUACAUCCCAUAUUCUUCAAGGUUCACAGGAAUGGAAACUUCAGGAGAGCCUGUGGGAAAGGGUGAAUUCUGCUGCAGCCGUUCUACAUCAAAAGAAGGCCCUUCUCAGUGACAGAUCCUUGUGCUACCAAUGGCACUGGAGCAUGAGCAUGUCUGAGUGUUUGUAUAAAUAAUAGCUGUGGGAAUGGGAGGGAGCAGUGGCAGAUAGUCAAGGAGUUCAGUGGAAGUCAAAAUUAAGUGGGAAUUUUGAGGCUUAUUUGAUGUAACACUUGGCUUUGAGGAUGGAGGAAGUUGGACUUGAAGCAAACCUGCAAAUUACAACCCAGCCUCAUUAGAAAUUAGCUGGUAGUAAUCAGAGAGCUUUAACUGAGUGUAAAAAUAUCUAAUCUAGAGAUGUGGGGUUCUGUUGGGUGACUAUUGCUCAUUCUCUCAUAGACUGAAUUAGCUAACAAAAACAAAUCCGUCAAUACAUCCAAUAUAAAUUUUCAGCUUACCUCUGCUGAGCUUUGAUUUAUCACCAAUAUCCAAAAUGAAGCAAGGUUUGUCUUGGAACAGUUUACACAGGACUAACAUUCAUGCGAUCCUGACUUUCACUGAAAUGAGUAUAACUGCUAGUCUGUAGAUGUGAUGAGAAAAUAAUUUAUCUAGAGCCAUUUCAUCCACUUCGUGUAUGGAAGUUAAAAACACAAUCUCCAGUGAGACUCUGUGUAAAACUGCAAAUUUUAGGUCUAUUGAAUUAGUUUAGCUUUUCCUUGAUCUAGCUGAGGCUGAACAUUGGCCUACAUACGAUCUUUUUAUAUUUUUAGUAUUUAGUUUACACCCAUCACUCAGAAGUAUAAAGCUCAUCUGCUAAUGUAGGUUUAUUAAAAAUUGCUGGAGUCCAAGGAUGAGAUUUUGGUUGUGUUAGUAAAGUAAAUGGCAAAAUCCACAAGAAGGGACUAGAAUUUUACUGUAUAAACCUGAUUUUUAGGAGAUUGAAAAAUUAGAGUAAAACCAGUAUAAAUAUCGGUCUCAAGUGUUUCAAAGAGGUAAGAGCUGCAUGAAUGAAGUCCAUCCAAACCAGUGAAAAAAGCCUAUUAUCUUCAAUGGGUUUUGUGUCAGAUACUCUGAAAAAAAGGAGCUCAAACAAUAUCUUUAGCAGCAUUGACAAUUUCUAUUUAAAUGGAUUAUUUCCAGAUCAAGCUAUUUUUUUCAAUAAACUAGAAGUUUCUAGCCAGGAGAGAAGUUUCUAAACCAAGGUCUUAUCCUAGGCAUCAAGUUAACUUAUGCUUCUUUCCUUCAAGAUAGCCACAAACAUUUUUGUAUUAAGAAAUUAGCGAGAUUCUUAGCUGAAUAAUGUACAACAUGGUGAAGUUGUAAGGGCAUCUUUGACAAAGGCUAUUGCCUUUUCUUCCUUCGGGUCUGCCUCAUCGAUGGCUAAACUAGCUUACUGUAGAGCAUGCAGACAUGGGAAGCACUGAGGUGUCCAAAGCUGGAAGGACAGGAUUUAAACAGAUGGGAAUAUACACGUUCAGAUGGGGCAUUGAGAGAGACAUCUGACUCAUGUCGCAUUGUAAGACAGAGCGCGUGGCUCUGAAGAGCCAAAACAGCUUUAAAAAAUGCUAGCAGUCUAAAGUCCCAGCGAUUUUUGCAAGCUGGAAGAGGAGCCCUUGGGCAGCUCAUCGGUGUGGGAGAGUGGGGAGGCUGCCCCAGCCCAGAGCCCAUUGCCCGUGUGGGUCACGGGGCCGCGGUGGGGCUGGGAGUGGGACGGUCCGAGGCAGGCGGGAGCAGUUCCCCGAAGCCUCCGGCCAGUGAGAAAUGGCUGAUUCAUGACGUGUUCCUGGGGCCUCUGCAUUACACCCUGCUGGCCUGGCACCAAAAUGCAAGAGGCUUUGCCGUCUGCAUCCUCUUGUCACCACACUUCGGUGGCCAAAUCCCACGGACUUUGUUUAAGCCUUGCUCAGAUGAACUACGCAUUGAGUCAGUGGAAACCUUUUCCAAGCAGCGCUUGAAGAAGGAAGUUGAAGAAGGUAUUGCCAAGGGGACGGAUGGACUGGGUGACCUCAUCGACCUUUUCCACCUAACGCUUUAAUGGACAGAAAAAUACCAUGCGGGAGCCUGCAGUGCUUUGGGAAAGAGGAGCGAGCACACUGCUAAAGUAGCAGUGCUGGAAGGCAUUAGGGCUUAGGGUGGUUUAAUUAUCCUGGUGCUGCUGCUGGGAAGUAAUCCUUGCUUCGUUGAUGCACAGGUCCCUUCGGCACACGUUGUGCUGCAGCUCAGCAGCAUGGCCAUAGCCCUGCAUUGCCCCUGAGCAGCAUAGCCCUUGGGCUGCUCACGCUGGCUGUGGGGCCACGCUCCUUUCCAGUCCUGCUCCUCUCGGUCCUGCAGCUGCUGUCUCUCUGGUGUGGAAAUGGCCAUUGUAACAGGACCCUAUGUUUUGAAGCGAGCAGAGUUUUAAUAUGAAGAAUGCUGGAUUUUACAAUAUAUAUAUGUGUGCGUGUGUAAGUAUAUAUGAAAAGAGGGAGAAAGAGACUUUGUAUGUACACACAUGCAUGCACAUAUUUAUUUACAAAGACUGCACCUUUUAAAGGUAAAGUAGUUUAUAAAAACAGCAGUGAGAUGGAGUCAGACUUCAGGGUGUAGCACUUGAGCUCUGGUCUCUGGCAUCAUGUUUCUUGUUAGCCUCAGUAUUCUCAGUUGAAAAGUCAUUUAUAUUGAUAUUAUUACCAGCCACCAGACUCAUAGCUGCGAUGUAGAGGUUAAUUAGCUACGAAGUUUGGAAUAUCAUAGAAGAUGAAGAGUGCUAUAGUGUGUUGCUGCUAUGUUGCUGUUUAUUUCUGCAGUAGGUCUGGCUGACAGUGCACUGUGUACUGCUGUGUGCUGGUGCAAGCGCAGGUCCAUGUCCCCCCUGUGCUCUCCAGUUCAGAAGCACUGAGGUACUGAGGAAUAAUCAAAGGGAUUUGGUAAUAGUACCUUAAAGAACUGGUACACCAAAACUGUAAAGUUGCUGCAGGUAACAUCCUCUUGGUUAUCCUUGAUUUGCCAGAUGUACCUGCUGACCGGGCACGUGCUCGUGCCAGCUGCACGGUAAGGCAGUGCAAAGCAGGAUCCCCUCGCAUCUUCUUUUCAGUUUGUUUUCUGGGGGAGACAUGACUCCCUUUCCUCCUCCCCACCUUCUCUGCACUUGCUGCUUCUCUGGCCAGGACGACUGGCGUGGGCGGCACGUCCCCCUGAGCACUGUGAGAAACUCCCUGACUUCCUCCCCCGGAGCCCAAACGUCUCCUUUGAUUUUCCUGAUGUCUGUCACCCUGCCACUGCCAAUGUCCCCAGUGCCAGGGACGCUGCACAUGCAGGAGUGCUUCUUGAAGCAUGAGGGUCAGAGAGAGCCUCUCACAAGCCUGUGUUCACCACUGCUCUCCACAGCCCGGUGGAGACCAGUGGUGGAGGGCUGAAGCUCAGGCAAGCGGUGGCUCUGCCCUGGCUACCCCCCUCUGCGCAGUGACUGCCCCCCCAGCCGCCGGCCUGAUGCUCCUAAAUAUAUGACUGCCUCCAUCUUGUCACCCUGCCACAGCUCACCCUCUGGCUGAUGUGAACGGGUACUAUAUUUACCCAGGAGAGUCAUGAAAAUUGCCAUGACAAUGAUUGUGGUUGCUUGGGAAUGCAAGGAGCUAAUUUUGCCUGGAUAAUAAGACACAGAGUCAUCUGUCUCCCUCGGUAAAGCAAUGAGGAGUUUAUGCAGGAAUGUCCUGGCUUCUCUGAGCAAACAGAAAAGCCAGUCCCAGCAAUGCAACACCCCCCAGAGGCACAGAGAUUUGGAAGAGGAUGGCUUGAUGGACGGGUGCUUCCCCCGCGAGCGCUGGAGCUGUUGACCCGCUGGCCAGGGAGCUCAGUGCCCUGGUGCACACCUCCAUUGCAAAUAACAGCAGGGGGCUGAUUUUGCACAUGGUUUAGAAAGAAGCGAUUUCAGACGUUUGUAGGCUUUUCCCAACCCAGAUGCAGCAGUUCCUCCAGAAAGUUGAGAAAGUGUUUUCUGCCACACCUGACUGCAAGCGGCAUCGAGCGCAUACGUACAGGCACAAACCCACCCUCCCUCCCCGGCGCUUCUUCGCUGCAGCACAGCGGUUUAAGGCAGCUUGCAGCUGUGUCUGAGGCACUUCUCUGCUCGGUUGCAGGCUGUGGGAGCAAUUAGCCUUCAAAGGCUUUGGUCAGACUCAGUCAAGGGUACUGGUGGCUUUAAAACUGCUCCCAGGAAUUAGAUAAACAGUCUCUUAGGGCUCAGAAGAAAUCUUUCUCUCACUCUUAAAAUUUUUUUUGGUGUCUUGCACUUCUAGUAAGUGACAGUUUUGCAAAUUGCUAGUAAAGAACUUAAAUGUCUAAUUAAAUCUCGAAGAUGUACAAGAGUUUGAAGAGCGUGAUUGAUGCCCACAAAGGUAUGGCUGCCUAAUGGAGUCGUCCUGACAGCAAUCGCGAAAGCCCAUUUAACGGCUGAUGUCUUGUUGUGAUCCAUGUUGUCAUUUUUUCAUUACUGAUUAAAAUUAAAAAUCUGCUUGGCAAAUCCAUUGUAAAAAUUUCCUUCAUGAAAAUCGACGGGUACAAAUUAUUUUGUCAAUCGCCUGGCAAUCAAACUGUGACUGAAGACUGUUUCAUGCCCAUAGAUUUUUAUAUAUUUUUUUUCUUUUUGCUCAUGCCAGUGAAUUUUCAUAGCAAAGUUUUUUAAGCGUAGGUGGCAGUCUUGGCAAUGCUUAAUUUUUUUUUUUAAAUAAAUAAAGCUGCAGUUCUAUAUUUUAAUGAAAUGUUUUGUUUAUGUUGUCUUUCCAUUCCCAUUUGAAAGCAAAUAGGAACGUUCCUCACUCUGGAAGUUAGGCUGUGCUACUUAAUUGUCUAAUGCCAUGUAAUGACAGGUGAAUAAUAGUAAUAAAAGCCUUUAUUAGGGUAAAAUCUGUUUUGAGAGUGGAAGCGUAAACUGUCUAAAAUGUAAAACUGAAAAAAAAAGGAAAAAGCCAACCAAGCCUCUCGACGCUACAUCACUUAUAGCUAGAAGAUAUUUAUGGCUCCACUUCUUGGUGGGGUUUCCAGCUCGCUGUUCCCAUAUGCAGGUGCAACGGACCUGGGUGAGCUACCCUGGGGUGAGCUUGGCACCUCACCAGGGCCAGGCUGUAAAUCCCCUGCAAGGGCUGAGUUGGGAUGGCAAAGUGGGGUGGGGUUGUGAAUGAGCACUCAUGUAUUCCUUGCAGAAACAGCACUGAGGGCUCGGUAGCAUGUAGUUCACUGUCAGACGAGAGUAAUUUAGAGAUCCUAAUUUCUCUGUAAAAUUCAAAAGAUGCUUUACUCUGGCUAAAAAAACCCGGACAACUCAAGCAGCAAGAAAAGCAUUAUUGUCCCAUUAAUAAAAUUUUUAUUCUACUUAAUUGAUAUUUCCGCUUCUCAUAAUUGAGUCUCA